rnacentral:misc_RNA from 1 species
ACAAACUUGGUCAUUUAGAGGAAGUAAAAGUCGUAACAAGGUCUUCGUAGGUGAACCUGCGGAGGGAUCAUUGAUGAAACACCUCUGGGAAACCAGAGUGAUCAUUUCCACACACCCUAGUGAACCGGUCCAGAUCUGGCUUGGCCUUAGGAAAGCAGUGUCAUGCUGCCGGUACUUUGAUCAAAAAAGAGAUGGGCUCUUUUUUCUAGUCUUGGUCUUAGGAAAGCAGUGUUAUGCUGCCGAUACUUUGGUUGGGACUGAAAAACCCUUGUGAAUGAAACAAGUCUUGAAUGUGUUGUGUACACGCUUCCUUCAUUGGAAACAUGUCUUUACAACUAUUAACGGUGGAUCUCUUGGCUCUCGCAUCGAUGAAGAACGCAGC